rnacentral:antisense_RNA from 1 species
ACACAUAUACUCAUAGAAAUGAGUUAUUUAAAGAAGACGGUCCAGAUUCCACAGUCCAAAAAAAAAAAGAGGUUUGCCCUGCUUCCGAAGGAGUCAGGAUAUGAAUGCAGAGGUCUUCCUGUUGGCUCACAUAUCAGACCUUCAACGUCAACAUUAAAUGCUGAAAGAACAUCAGUGUAUCAGCACAGCAAAUAUUCCAAAUGCCAGGCUGGAUUCCCUCCAAUUACCAGAACCUCCAGGCUUCUCCUCCUUUCAAGAACUUUCUGACCCUGGAUCCAGUCUAAAUGUUGGUUAUAAACUCACCUGACAUCCACAGGGCCCUUCCAAAGUACUGUCAAGGCUGACUGCUGGUGCCUGGAACCUGCACACCCUCCUGGGACUCUGCAUCUCUGCUGGGGCUGGUUUCUCCUCUGAGCCACCUUAAGGAAUCCCAUCCUGACCCGGAAAUACGACGACAAUGGGACUUUGGGAAUGUGUUCUGGAGACUCCGCUCCUUGGUGACUACUACAUGGAGCACAGAAAAUUGUCUUGAGUGGCAGCUAUGUGCCAGCAAUACCUGCCUGGCAGAGUUGUGAGAAUUAAAUGAGAUGAUGAAUACAUCUGCUCUCAGCACCACACCACACCUGUGGCAGUCCUCAGAGAGAAGAAUCACAGCUUCCAUUCAUUGACAGCUCACUAAGUGCCAGAACCAUAGAGCUCAAAGCUUCUCAGCUCAACGGAGAACUCAGCACUUCUUGGACUGAUAAAUAGAGCAGCUUUAAAAUGCUUAGAACUGAAGACAGACCAACUGUGGCGAGAGAAAGUAAACACAUCCAUGCACCAGUCAACCCUAGCAAGCUCCUCGCUGAGAUUACAAACUGCAGUUCCUGCCUGAGCUGGAGAGGAUGCUGGAGCAGGCUGGGGGACCAGAACCACAAACCAGCCCUGGCUUAGCUCUGGCUUAGCUAGCUGUGCCCCAGAAGAGCUGGGUCCUCAGGGAGACUUCUUGCGGCCCGGUUUGGAUGUUCCUAAGCAUAGAAGACUCUGCCAGUGUGUCCCUCAUUCGUUUCACAUUUGGAAAUGUACCAAGAGAAGUGGGAACCAGCUUUACUCUUUCGGAUCUAGAUGGGAAUCCUUUCCUUUGCAUUCAAGCUCUCUGUGUACAGGUGUAACUUGCCAGUGAAAGACUUGGGAUUUCUCACAAAAUAGAAUGUGAUAACGACAUAAUUUGAUAUGAAUAUUUGAGGAACUUUAUCUAUGGACAAUAUAUACUUUAAACAUCUCCCUCCCCAAGUCACACACACAAAUUGUUUUUAUGAGAACCAAUUAAUAAAUGCUAAUUCAUUGAGGCA